rnacentral:lncRNA from 1 species
AACCCUGCCCAGUCCAUCCCACCCCGGAGCCAGCUUUCCUCUCGGCCCCGCGCGGGGCCCCUCCCUGUCAGGCCCAGGGCCGGGCUCUGGCGGGAACCCCGCUCGGCCCCCGCCUCCUGCACCUCAGCACCAUCCCGUCGCCCCAUAAGCCUCGGCCCCGCGGCGCUGCAACCCUCCCUUCUGGGAAAGGAAUGUGCCCGAUACCCACUGCUUAGCUCGGCGUCCGCCGCUGCCUCCACAGCAGGCCCUAAGCCCGAGUCCCGGCCUCGCCGCCGCCACCGCCGGCCGGCCUAGAGCUCGGAGCCUCCGCUUACCUCCCCGCCCCCUCCUGCUACCGCACUCGGAAACCCGCCCGCCGCAAACACCCUAGGAACAGUUUCUCCAAUCAACGAGCCGAGGCCGGGGCCGUCGACGGAUGUCCCUCUGAUUGGCAGCAGAGAGGGCCCAAUGGCUGAGUGUACCUCCUCAUCCCCGGACCUGAUUUCCCAAGACUGACAUAAUUCCCGGCCCAAUGAGUACCUAGGCCCGCCCCGCGGUAUGGACCCACCAAUGAGGAGGGCGAAGGCCCUAGUGUCUGGCAUUCUGGGCCCCUCGGCCGCGCCUUCGCGGCGGGCGAUGUUAGUGGGCUUGGGCGUUGGGUGAAGUAUCCAGGUUGGGCGCUUCCAGCGCUUUCUGUGGCGGGGGAAUGAAGGCCUAGGUCAGGGAAUAGGAAGGUGUAUCGCCGCCAGAGUGCGGAACACCCUCGCCUUGAGGGUUCCCACAGUGACUUGCAAAAGUCUAGUGAGACCCGAGAAUGCUGAGGCGGGACACGAAGCAUGUGGUUCUUGUGGUUGCGACGCUCGUGCCGCCAUCUUGGGUGCUGGCGGCGGAAACCGGUACCCCAACUUCCCCUCGGUGCGAACCUGGAGAAGCCACCCCAGCUGUGAGGGACGGUUGCGCCUCAUGGCCCAGGCAAGGGUACCUUCGCUGGAGCAGUACCGCGGACGGAUAUCAUGAGGGUGGUGGGACGUUGGCGGAACGUUGGCGGAACGUUGGCGGUGUGAGAGGUGUGGGGUAAUGGCGAUUUUUGUCAUGGUAGAAACAGCCCAAAGGACCCCCCUCGUUUGGCCUCCCACGCAGCUUAGUCUUGCUUUUUUAGGGAUGUUUCUCAUUUUUUAAUUUCUCCAGUCCCAUCUGGUUAUAUUGCCAAAACAUGUUUGUGACUCUCAAACGUUAGUUUACUCCCAGCAUCACUUGGGGAGCUUGCUAAGCUACGAAUUCCGAGGUCCCACUGGAGAGUCUGAUUUAAUGACCCUGGAGUGGCGGCCGGAUAACCUGCCUGCUGGGGUGAUUUUAACGCAGCUGAUGCGAAGACCCCAUUUAGGGAAUCAUUGGGUUGGCGUUUGCAAUGCGUUCCUCCCAGCUAUAGGACAAAGAGGUGUCAACUCAACUGUGUCUUCUUAGAAGAGCCCAUUAUUUAUAGGUGAGUCAUUAGUCCCUGUACAACUAAGGACAAGGCCAACUGAUAACUCAGUAAAUAAUCGAGUCCAUUUUGUGCUUGCGAGUUAGGGGCUUAAUUUGGGGUGGUUUGCAGAUUAAGUACUUUCACUGCAUAUAAUAAACGUACACCAGCAAACCACUCAUGGAAUUCUUAAAAAAACUUCUGAGCUAGUUUACCAGUUUCAAAGACUAAUUCAGAGAGCAUGUUUUACCUAUUCUAGGCUGGACUGGAACUCCUGGACUCAAGCGAUCUUUCCAUUUAUCAGGGACUACUGACGCGUGUCUCCCAAUAAAUACCUGAGUAUAAACAACAUGAGGACUAGAAUUUUGUGCGUUAACUGUUAUAACUUAGUAGACACUCAAAUACUGAGUACUUGAAGGGGGACUCAAGCAGGCAGGCCUCUGAUUUUCCUGUUAAAAGCAGAAAUUAACCACACCUUGGAGGAUGUACAGUUUUGAAGGAUAUGGCAUGUUAACAAUAAAAUAGGAGACCAUUCAGUCCCCGAAGUAGUGAGACAAUGAAGAUAAAGACUGGUAUUGUAUAAGAAAGGAGGAAUAUUUAGGUGUGGCCAUCAACUCUAAAAAUAAAUAAGGUUGAGAAGGAAGUAUUUUAAACAUAGAACUGGGCCCGGCGCAGUGGCUCACAGUAGCACCUUGGGAGGCCGAGGCGGGAGGAUUGCUUGACCAGCCUGGGCAGCAUAGUGAGACCCCCGUCGCUACAAAAAAACAAGCUGGGCUUGGUGCCACACAUCUAUAGUCCCAACUACUCAGGAGGCUGAGGUGGGAGGAUUUCUUGAGCUGGGAGAUUGAGGCUGCAGUGAGCUAUGAUGGUGCCAGUCUGGGCAACAGUGAGAUGCUUCCUCAACAAAACAAAACAUAAAAUUGAGAGAUAUAAAGGCUCAACUACAGUGUUUAACUACAAGACAAUUUUGAGAAGGUGAAAAGAGCAUACUAAAGUUGGUCUUUUUUUGACAGAAAAAUACAGAACAAUUUUCAGUCCUAACAGUUCAAACUAAAACUGGACAAUCGUUUAUCUGUGGAGUUUCCUGCUUAGCCAUUUCACAAAGGUGGGCAGAAAAAGGGAAAGAGUUGCAAGGGCCGAAGAGAGUAAAGGUGUAGAGACAAACUCAGUCGCAACAGCAGGCCUAGGCCUGGCAGGGUGUGGGCGCCCAGGAUAUUUGAUGCUCCAUGGAAGGGAGUGGAGACAGAAAGACUGUCUUCCAUUCUGUCUAGAGUUCCAGAUCAAGUCUGAGCAGGUGCAAGCUUUCCCAGAACCUGCUGAUUAACCUUGUAAAACCCAGGGUGUGUCCUUCUUCACCCAGGAAGCCACCCCCUCCUUUCCCCCAACACUCUCCCCCUCCCUUUGCCUGGGACAGCUGUUAAUAGGACAGUUACCCAAGAAGCAAAAGAAGGAUCCCAUGCUGAUGUGUCAUCAGUCCCGGUAUAUCCAUUAAAUCAGACUGAGAAGACCACUGGAAAAAGUGAGCGCAUGCAUGUGGCUCCCUAAGGGAAAGGCUGGCAGCCAUUGUAAAACUAGGCCUUGCCCCUGCGACUCCAGGCUGGGCAGGAGAGAGAAGAAGGCAGUGGAAGCCGAGAAGAGGGUUAGGUCUAAAGCACACGGAUUUGGGGCCAGCUAACUAUAAAACAUACACGGAAAUCCCCACCCCCACCCCAGGAAUAGCAGUGUAGUGUCUACCGACCCAGCUUCCCUGGUAGGAAAAGCUGCUGCUGCCGCCAACAGCCACAUCCAUCCUGCAGUCAUCCCUGGAGGAUGACACAUGCCAGGAAUCCUCAGAGAAGGGGCUGUGGGAGGGCAGGCUGGCUGGGGCUCUGAUUUCUUCUGGAACAGUGAAAUUGCUUUUUCCCUAAAAGGGAAACCCAGGCUUUCUGCCAUUCUGGUUGUCCAUUAUCUUUCCUCUAAAAAUGUCUCUAAGGCCAGGCACAGUGGCUCACACCUGUAACCCCAGCACUUCGAGAGGCCCAGGUGGGCAGAUCACUUGAGCCAGGAGUUUGAGACCAGCCUGGCCAACAUAGUGAAAACCCAUCUCUACAAAAAAAAUACAAAAAUUAGCCAGGCGUGGUGGUUCAUGCCUGUAGUCCUAGCUAGUGGGGAGGCUGAGGUGGAAAGAUCACCCGAUCCUGGGGAGGUUGAGGGUGCAGUAAGCUGUGAUUGCGCCAUUGCACUCCAGUCUGGGCAACAGAGUAAGACCCUGUCUCAAAAAAAAUAAUAAAAAGAAAAACAUGUCUUUAAGUUUUGCUAAUCCAUAUAAGUAUUUCUUACUCUGUAACCUCAUCUAAUCCAGGGGAAUAGAUUAGAUAGAUGAUUGCCUGAGAUUUCCUUACAGUCCUGAGAGAUGGUAGGAAUACAUCAUGUCAAUACUAAAUGUUAGCAUGUUUUGCAAAGAAAUCAAUUAGUUUUCUGGCAAAUCCGGACAUAUGGCCCUCUCUCUUAUAUGGUAAACAUCAUCAGCAAGCUUGUUACCAUUAAACCACCAAAAAGUAAAGCUCUCCUGCAAGCCAGCCUCUUUCCUAUGCACCACUACCACACUCUUAGAAGAUUGCUUCUCAAUCCUGGCUGCAUAUUAGAAUCACCCAGGUGGGUAGCUCGUAAGAAAUACCAAUGCCCAGGUCCCACCCCACACCAAUUAAAACAGCUGCCCAGAGCAGAAUUGGACAUCAGUAUUUUGUAAAAGCUCUUCAGGUGAUUCUUAUGCACAGCCAGAGUAGAGAAUCACUAGGUUGGAGCAAGAAUCCACAUUGGGGUAAAAAAAAAAAAAAAAAAAAAAAAGCAAAAGAUUGUGGUAAUACGGGAACACAGACUAGAAUGAUUAUCUGACUUUUUUUUUUGAGAUGGAGUCGCUCUGUGGUCCAGGCUGGAGUGCAGUGACACCAUCUCAGCUCACUGCAACCUCUGCCUCCCCAGUUCAAGCGAUUCUCCUGCUUCAGCCUCCUGAGUGGCUGGUAUUAAAGGUGCACACCACCACGCUUGGCUAAUUUUUGUAUUUUUAGUAGAGACAGGGUUUUGCCAUGUUGGCCAGGCUGGUCUCAAACUCCUGACCUCAAGUGAUCUGCCCACCUCAGCCUCCCAAAGUGCUGGGAUUACAGGCGUGAGCCACUGCACCCGGCCCGUUUGACUUUUAGGGUGUGCUCAUUCUCAACCCUAAAAUGUUCUUUCUUCACCUCUACAAUGAAAAUGCCUCAUUGUUCAUUAGUGUCUUAGUGUAACAUUUUUUGAAGCUGAGUUCAACUGUCCUGUAUGUCUUGCUAUGUUGUCUCAAACAAUACCAGGUAGUGUUCUUCAUAUAGCUCUGUGUGACAUGUCACACUCAAGGAGCUGCCAUUAAGAGGUAGGAGGAGUGGAUGUUUUGGACUCAUAGGUGGGUUCGAAAAUCUGGCUCUGUUUCUUACUAGUUGGGCCAUCCCGAGCUAAAUGGAGAUAACAAUGUACAUAUUCAUAAAUCUUAAAAAUCAGGUCAUGUGUAUAAAGCCAUUCAUGCCUGGAGGAAGAGCUGAGUAUAAGGCCCUGUCUUGAAUAAUCCUCUCUCCACCCACCCUACAACUUUAUCUCAGAGAAAGCCAAAGGCGAUGAAGAAAUGAGAGCUGUCCUUAGAAUGGUCUACUAGAAACCCAUCCUACAGACAGAGCAUGGAAGCUUUAGUUUUCUCUAGAGGAUGCCACCAGUACACACUUCCACGCCUCAUAUUCCACACACACCUCCCCCUCUUGACAUUAAGCAGGAGGGAUAGAGAGAGGCUGGUACCCAAGGGAGCUGUUUCUUCUCGUCACAUAAGAACAGAUGCUGAAAUCCUAGGACAGACAGCACAGAAAUGUGGCAGCAGGAGGGUGACUCAGAGGAAAUGAAAUGGUCUCCCCUUCAAGCUAUACCAAGGCCCAGAGGAGAACCUGCUUUGAAUCACCUGCCUCCUGGGACUCCAAAGGGCAGGGACCAAUUCUGAGUGCACUACUUCACAGGUUCCAGCUGGGUAGGGAUGUGCACAGCCCACCUCUCCAUCCUACUGUGCCUACCCGAAGGGAGUAGAGGGCAGAGAAACAUGAAGGCUGCAUUCUUUUUGAACCCAACUUGGCUUCCUCGAGCUGGGGAGGCUCUCCUGCCGAGUCUGCUGCUGCACGUGCAUGCUUCUCAUGUGCUGCCAGCCUUAAACUGGAAAGUCCUCUUAGGGCCAUGCUCUGUGGAAGACACUGUCCCAAUACUGGACACACAUAGCUCACAUGUUUAUGUGAAACUGCAUUAAAGGUGCACUUCAGGAUGUGUGGGGAAGCGGUUGUCAUGGAGAGAAAGAAGUUCUGGGGUCUCUGUUGAAGGAGUUUGGGGAGGGGUUAUCAUUGGGGAGAAUCUUGUCCUUGAAAAGUUGAACUUGGCUCUGAAUUUACUUAUUCACCACUAAACUAAGAUGUAAAGAGAUUUUAUGGGCCAGGCACGGUGGCUUACGCCUAUAAUCCCAGCACUUUGGGAGGCCAAGGUGGGCAGAUCACUUAAGGUCAGGAGUUGGAGAACAACCUGGCUAACAUGGUGAAACCCCGUCUCUACUAAAAAUACAAAAAUUAGCCGGGCAUGGUGGCACGCACCUGUAAUCCCUGCUACUUGGGAGGCUGAGGCAGGAGAAUUGCUUGAACCCGGGAGGCAGAGGUUGCAGUGAGCCGAGAUCGUGCUACUGCACUCCAGCCUGGGCGACAGAGUGAGACUCCAUUUCAAAAAAAAGAAAAGAUGUAAAGAGAUUUUAAGAAGAGGAACAACAAGGCCAGGCGCGGUGGUUCACGCCUGUAAUCCCAGCACUUUGGGAGGCCAAGGCAGGCGGAUCACCUGAGGUCAGGAGUUCAAGACCAGCCAAACAACAUAGUGAAACCCUGUCUCUACUAAAAAUAAAAAAAAUUAGCUGGGUGUGGUGGCGCAUACCUGUAAUCCCAGCUACUCAGGAGACUGAGACAGGAGAAUCGCCUGAACCUGGGAGGCGGAGAUUGCAGUGAGCCAAUAUCACCCCAUUGCACUCCAGCCUGGGCAACAAGAGUGAAACUCCUUCUCAAAAAAAAGAAAAAAAGAAAAAGAAAAAGCAACAACAGUGAUAGAUGUGGGGGUGAUGAGAACUUUGUGGUUCCUAAGCUUCCUUCCCCAGCCUUCUCUCAUUCCUAUCCCCUUGGCCCCUCUCCAGUGCCUUCCCAUCCCUAACGUGUAUAACUGACUCCUUCCCCACCUCCCCUAUGGAGCCAGCCCCCUAAGUCCCCUAUCUUCCCAGGUCUUCCUCUGUCCCUUCUGGAGGCUGCUGGUCUUUCAUAGUGGGUACCAUAGCCAAACAGAGGCUGAGAAAUGCUCCUGGAGGCUUUUUGGUGCUGUCCUUGUAAAUAUGAGCCAAAAAAAAAAAAAAAAUGGACUAGCUCACAGAAAUAUUAAGACAUCAAAAUAACCAAAUCAGUAUUUUUUAGAAAUAACAUACCCAGCCAGCAUGACCAUUGACAUAACUUCUGAUGAUCUGGAAUCCGAAGAAAUAAAAUGCCCAAAUGCUGGGUCUUUUCCCUGGCUGCUGUUAUCAAAUAGUGUCAUUAUGUUCCCUAUUAUAACUGAUAGCCUGCAAGAAAGGUUCAGAUGUGCCUUCUAAGUCAUCAUAUAGGGAGGGUCAGUAGAUGCUUCCUCAGAUGUCUGCAUGGCCUGCUUCCUCCUUUCCUUUAGCUCUUUGUUCAAAUGUCACCUUGUUAAAGGUUUUCUCAGAGGACUAUGAAAAUGGCUUUCUGGCUUGCCUGUCCCUUACCCCUCACAUUCCACAUCCCAUUUCUGCUCUAUUUUUCUUUGCAGCACUUAUCCCCAACUCAUAUAAUAUCUACUUUUCCCAUUUAUUUGUGUAUUAUAUCUUGCACAGAAACGCACGCAUGUACAUACACAAACACUUGAUUGUAAGUUCCAUGAGAGCAAAAUUUUUCUUUUGUCUACUAUUGUGUCCCAGUGGCUAGAAAAAUAUCUGGUACAUACUAAGCACUCAAUAAAUAUUUGUACAGCACAUAAAAUAUGUUGUCUUUUUUUUUUUUUUUUUUUUGGAGAUAGAGUCUUGCUCUGUUGCUGAGGCUGCAGUGGUGUGAUCUUGGCUCACUACAGCCUCUGCCUCCUGGGUGCAAAUGAUUCUCCUGCCUUCACCUCCCAAGUAGCUGGGACUACAGGCACUCGCCACCAUGCCUGGCUGAUUUUUGUGUGUUUUUAGUAGAAUCAGGGUUUCACCAUGUUGGCCAGGCUGGUCUCGAACUCCUGGUCUCAAGUGAUCUGCCCGCCUUGGCCUCUCAAAGUGCUGGGAUUACAGGUAUGAGCCACCACACCCAGCCAAUAUGGUAUCAUUGAUAGGUACAUUUUAAUUAUUAUUAGUUAAAAUUUGGUAUUUGUGAAUAUUUAUACAUGAUCUCCCUCAUCCUGAAUUCCUUUAUUCAUUUACUUCACAAAUGCUUAUUAAAUAUCUGUCAUCGGCCAGGUGCAGUGGCUCAUGCCUGUAAUCCCAGCACUUUGGGAGGCCGAGGCAAGCAGAUCACAAGGUCAAGAGAUCGAGACCAUCCUGGCCAACAUGGUGAAACCCUGUCUCUACUAAAAAUACAAAAAUUAGCUGGGCGUGGUGGUGUGCACCUGUAGUCCCAACUACUCGGGAGGCUGAGGCAGGAGAAUCACUGGAACCCGUGAGGCGGAGGUUGCAGUGAGCCGAGAUCUCGCCACUGCACUCCAGCCUGGUGACGGAGCAAGACUCCGUCUCAAAAAAAAAAAAAAAAAAUCUGUCACCAAGCCUUGUAAGAAACACUAGGGAUUCCACAGUGAACAAGACAAACAUAAUUGGCCAGGUGAGGUGGGUCACACCUGUAAUCUCAGGGCUUUGGGAGGCCGAGGCAGGAGGAGGGCUUGAUCCCAGGAGUUCAAGACCUGCCUGGACAACACAGCAAGACCCUGCCUUUAAAAAAAAUAAUAAUAAAUAACCAGGCAUGGUGGCACGUGUGUAUCGUCCCACCUACUCAGGAGACUGAGACAGGAGAAUGGCUUGAUCCUGGGAGUUGUUUGUGUGUGUGUGUGUGUGUGGGUGGGUGGGUGGGUAGCAGGUUCUCGCUCUCUUGGCCAGGCUGGAGUGCUGUAGUGCGGUCUCGGGUCACUGCAACCUCCACCUCCCAGGUUCAAGUGAUUCUCCUGCCUCAGCCUCCCGAGUAGCUGGGAUUACAGGCACCUGCCACCACCCCCGGCUAAUUUUUUUGUAUUUUUAGUAGAGAUGGGGUUUCACCAUGUUGGCCAGGCUGGUCUCAAACUCCUGACCUCGUGAUCCGCCUGUCUCGGCCUUCCAAAGAGCUGGAAUUACAGGCGUGAGCCACCGUGCCCGGCCGACACUGGGAAUUUGAGGCUGCGGUGAACUAUGAUCACACCACUGUACUCCAGCCUGGGUGAUAGAGCAAGACCCUGUCUCAAAACAAAAAAACAAACAAACAAAAAGUCACAUUCAUUGGUUCUUGCAGGGCUCAAAGUCUGGGCGGGGAGAAGGAACACUUAUAAACAAACUAGUAAAGGCUGGGAAUGGUGGUUCACGCCUGUAUCCCAACACUUUGGGAGGCUGAGGUGGGAGGAUCACUUGAGCCUAGGCGUUCAAGACCAGCCUGGGCAACAUAGUGAGACCUUGAUCAUGAUCACCCUCCUCCCCCUCCUCCUCCUCUUCCUUUCUUUUUCUCUUCUUCUUCUUCUUCUUUUUUUUUUUUUUGAAACAGAUUCUCACUCCCAUUGCCCAGGCUGGAGCACAGUGGCAUGAUCAUGGCUCUGCAGCCUUGAACCCCCAGACUCGGGUGAUUCUCCCACCUCAGCCUUCUGAGUAGCUGGGACUACAGGUCACACCACCCUACCUGGCUAAUUUCUUUGUAGUUUUAGUAGAGACUAGAUCUUACCAUGUUGCCCAGGCUGGUCUGGAACUCCUGGGCUCAAGCCUUCUGCCCACCUCAGCCUCCCAAAGUGCUGGGAUUACAGAUGUGAGCCAUUGAGCCCAGACUUGAGACCUUGUUUCUACAAAAAUAAAAAAAAUAAAAAAAUAAAAAAUUACCUGGGAGUGGUUGCAUGCACCAGUGGUCCCAGCUACUCGGGAGACUGAGAUGGGAGGAUUGCCUGAGCCCAGGAGGUUGAGGCUGCAGUGAGCCCAGAUCGAGUCACUGCACUCCAGCCUGGGCAACAGAGUGAGACCGUGUCUCAAACAAGCAAUAUUAGUAAAAAUAAUAUUUAGAGAUUGAAAAAAGUGCAAUGAAAGAAAGAAAUAGGAACUGAGAGAAUGUGACAGGAGAGACCUAUCAAGUCAGAUAUGGUGGCUGUCAGGAGGACCUUUUGGUAAUUAUAUUUCAGCAGAGGCUUGAAGAUAAGAAGACUUGAUGCAUUCAGUGAGGAAAACCCC